CUAUGAUUUUUAAUAAAUCAUGGCGGAAGGAG
rnacentral:ncRNA from 1 species